rnacentral:rRNA from 1 species
UACAGAGGCCUCGAGCGUUAGGCGGAAUCACUGGGCGUAAAGCGCACGUAGGCGGCUUCUUAAGUCAGGGGUGAAAUCCUGGAGCUCAACUCCAGAACUGCCUUUGAUACUGAGGAGCUUGAGUCCGGGAGAGGUGAGUGGAACUGCGAGUGUAGAGGUGAAAUUCGUAGAUAUUCGCAAGAACACCAGUGGCGAAGGCGGCUCACUGGCCCGGUACUGACGCUGAGGUGCGAAAGCGUGGGGAGCAAACAGG